UUGCCUCAGUAACGGCGAGUGAAGCGGCAACAGCUCAAAGUUUGAAAGCUGCCAACCGGCCGCAUUGUAAUUUGUAGAAGAUGCUUUGGGUGUCGGCUGUGUCCAAGUUUCUUGGAACAGGACGUCAGAGAGGGUGAGAAUCCCGUACGACUCAGCCUAUCCCGUGUAAAGCUCUUUCGACGAGUCGAGUUGUUUGGGAAUGCAGCUCAAAAUGGGUGGUAAAUUUCAUCUAAAGCUAAAUAUUGGCCAGAGACCGAUAGCGCACAAGUAGAGUGAUCGAAAGAUGAAAAGCACUUUGGAAAGAGAGUUAAAUAGUACGUGAAAUUGUUGAAAGGGAAGCGCUUGCAACCAGACUUGCGGGCGGUCGAUCAUCCGAGGUUCUCCCCGGUGCACUCGACCGUUCUCAGGCCAGCAUCGGUUCUGGUGGUGGGAUAAAGGCUGUGGGAAUGUGGCUUUUCGGAGUGUUAUAGCCCACGGUGCAAUGCCGCCUACCGGGACCGAGGACCGCGCUUCGGCUAGGAUGCUGGCGUAAUGGUUGUAAGCGACCCGUCUUGAAACACGGACCAAGGAGUCUAACAUCUAUGCGAGUGUUUGGGUGUUAAACCCAUGCGCGUAAUGAAAGUGAACGGAGGUGAGAGCUCUUUAGGGCGCAUCAUCGACCGAUCCUGAUGUCUUCGGAUGGAUUUGAGUAAGAGCAUAGCUGUUGGGACCCGAAAGAUGGUGAACUAUGCGUGAAUAGGGUGAAGCCAGAGGAGACUCUGGUGGAGGCUCGCAGCGGUUCUGACGUGCAAAUCGAUCGUCAAAUUUGCGUAUAGGGGCGAAAGACUAAUCGAACCAUCUAGUAGCUGGUUCCUGCCGAAGUUUCCCUCAUGAUAGCAGUGUUGUUUUCAGUUUUAUGAGGUAAAGCGAAUGAUUAGAGGCCUUGAGGUUGAAACAACCUUAACCUAUUCUCAAACUUUAAAUAUGUAAGAAGUCCUUGUUGCUUAAUUGAACGUGGACAUUCGAAUGUAUCAACACUAGUGGGCCAUUUUUGGUAAGCAGAACUGGCGAUGCGGGAUGAACCGAACGUGGAGUUAAGGUGCCGGAAUCUACGCUCAUCAGAAUCACAAAA
rnacentral:rRNA from 1 species